UACGUAGGGUGCUAGCGUUGUCCGGACUUAUUGGGCGUAAAGGGCUCGUAGGCGGCGUGUCGCGUCGGGAGUGAAAGCCCGCUGCUUAACGGCGGGUUGGCUUCCGGUACGGGCAUCGCUGGAGUGCGGCAGGGGAGACUGGAAUUCCUGGUGUAGCGGUGGAAUGCGCAGAUAUCAGGAGGAACACCGGUGGCGAAGGCGGGUCCCUGGGCCGUUACUGACGCUGAGGAGCGAAAGCGUGGGGAGCGAACAGG
rnacentral:rRNA from 1 species